GAUGAACGCUGGCGGCGUGCCUAAUACAUGCAAGUCGAGCGAACAGAUGAGAAGCUUGCUUCUCUGAUGUUAGCGGCGGACGGGUGAGUAACACGUGGGUAACCUACCUACAAGACUGGGAUAACUCCGGGAAACCGGGGCUAAUACCGGAUAAUAUUUUGAACCGCAUGGUUCAAUAGUGAAAGACGGUUUCGGCUGUCCCUUAUAGAUGGACCCGCGCCGUAUUAGCUAGUUGGUAAGGUAACGGCUUACCAAGGCGACGAUACGUAGCCGACCUGAGAGGGUGAUCGGCCACACUGGAACUGAGACACGGUCCAGACUCCUACGGGAGGCAGCAGUAGGGAAUCUUCCGCAAUGGGCGAAAGCCUGACGGAGCAACGCCGCGUGAGUGAUGAAGGUCUUCGGAUCGUAAAACUCUGUUGUUAGGGAAGAACAAAUUUGUUAGUAACUGAACAAGUCUUGACGGUACCUAACCAGAAAGCCACGGCUAACUACGUGCCAGCCGCCGCGGUAA
rnacentral:rRNA from 1 species